rnacentral:tRNA from 1 species
GCCCAGUUAGCUCAGUUGGUAAAGCAUCAGACUUUUAAUCUGAGGGCCAUGGGUUCGAGUCCCAUAUCGGGCU